rnacentral:rRNA from 1 species
AGAGUUUGAUCCUGGCUCAGGAUGAACGCUGGCGGCAUGCCUAAUACAUGCAAGUCGAACGGACCGAAGGGAAAGCUUGCUUUUCCUGAAGUCAGUGGCGAACGGGUGAGUAACACGUAGGUAACCUGCCCAUGUGCCCGGGACAACGCCUGGAAACGGGUGCUAAAACCGGAUAGGUAGAGAGAUCGCAUGAACUUUCUAUUAAAGGGGCUACGGCCCUGAACAUGGAUGGACCUGCGGUGCAUUAGCUAGUUGGUGAGGUAACGGCCCACCAAGGCGACGAUGCAUAGCCGACCUGAGAGGGCGAACGGCCACAUUGGGACUGAGACACGGCCCAAACUCCUACGGGAGGCAGCAGUAGGGAAUUUUCGUCAAUGGGGGGAACCCUGAACGAGCAAUGCCGCGUGAGUGAAGACGGUCUUCGGAUUGUAAAGCUCUGUUGCGAGAGAAAAACGACACGGAUAGGGAAUGAUCCGUGGGUGAUGGUAUCUCGCCAGAAAGUCACGGCUAACUACGUGCCAGCAGCCGCGGUAAUACGUAGGUGGCGAGCGUUAUCCGGAAUUAUUGGGCGUAAAGAGGGAGCAGGCGGCACUAAGGGUCUGUGGUGAAAGAUCGAAGCUUAACUUCGGUAAGCCAUGGAAACCGUAGAGCUAGAGUGUGUGAGAGGAUCGUGGAAUUCCAUGUGUAGCGGUGAAAUGCGUAGAUAUAUGGAGGAACACCAGUGGCGAAGGCGACGAUCUGGCGCAUAACUGACGCUCAGUCCCGAAAGCGUGGGGAGCAAAUAGGAUUAGAUACCCUAGUAGUCCACGCCGUAAACGAUGAGAACUAAGUGUUGGGGGAAUAACUCAGUGCUGCAGUUAACGCAAUAAGUUCUCCGCCUGGGGAGUAUGCACGCAAGUGUGAAACUCAAAGGAAUUGACGGGGGCCCGCACAAGCGGUGGAGUAUGUGGUUUAAUUCGAAGCAACGCGAAGAACCUUACCAGGGCUUGACAUCCUACUAACGAAGUAGAGAUACAUUAGGUGCCCUUCGGGGGAAGUAGAGACAGGUGGUGCAUGGUUGUCGUCAGCUCGUGUCGUGAGAUGUU